AUGUACAAAUUCUACCCACCACAAAGCUUUUCACGUACUUCUCCUACCAACACGAUGUACCUAGGGGAGGAGGGGCACCGAGCUGUGGAUCACACAAGGGGGGCUAUGGGCAGCCUGCUUGACAAGCUAGGCAAGCUCGUCACGGAGGACUACAGUCUAGAUACGACCAUCAAGAGUGAUAUCGAGUCUUUCUCACAAGAUCUGAGAAAGAUGCACCGAGACCUCCCAAAGCUGAAAAAUGAUUAUGAGGCCAAGAACUGGGUUGACGAAGUUAGAGAGCUUGCUUAUAACAUAGAGGAUAUGGUCGAUAACUUCCUGGUGCACAUCGUGCCUAACUCCAGUAGGAGAGGCUUCAAGGAGAUCAUGCAUGACAGUGUAAAGCUAGUGCAGAAUGGCAUGACGACUCACCGUCAGAUUAGUGACGUGAUUAGAGAAAUCAAGGCCAAUGUUAAGACUCUGGACAAAAGGAAAGAGAAGUACAACAUUAAUGUCAAAGGUGAUGUGGAUAAAGCAGCUACCAAAGCCGCCAUUGACGACCUUCGGAAUUCUGCUAUACAUGAAGAAGAUAAAGAACGACUCGUUGGCAUCAAAGCGCCAAGAGAGGAGAUAAUAAGGCUACUUAAGAAGCAUGACAAUGUACCAAAUGAAAAGCUCAGGGUAGUCUCUAUCGUUGGAAUGGGAGGAUUGGGCAAGACCACGCUUGCCAAGGCAGUGUAUGACAAAUACAAGCGUAAAAGAUACAAUCCUAAAGUGUUUGUUCCAAUGGGCCGGAAUCCCAAUGUAGAGACUGUUUUGAAGAACAUUAUCUUUGAAAUUAAAGAGGAUUUCAAUGCAAAAGGGUUGAAUGUGGGACAGCUCACAAAAAAAGUCAAAGAAUUGCUUCGGAAUGAGAGGUGUCCAAACGUGAAUAAUAAUGCAGAAGAAAAAUAG
rnacentral:rRNA from 1 species